UUGGCCGAAAUAUUUAGUUAAGUUACGUUACGGAAAUUAAGUCUAGACUAACUGAGCUUUUAAACUGGCAAAAUAUAGUGACACUUCCAUCACAGGGCGAAGAUAUAGCGGCACACUCACGUGGUUGCCAAAUUGUCUGAAACGGUUUUAGCUGUUAAUGAUUGGUUAGUUAAACCUUUGCUCGUUUUUGGAUGCCGAGCGUGAGGAUCAUAUAUGAAUGCCGAAUUUUAAGGAGGAUAUAAUAAUAUUAAUUAUGCGAUAAAAGCAUCGCAGCCCUUGUAAGAAUAUAUUGUCGAUAUUGCAAUAUAGUAGGGCGCAGAUGGACUAAAAUCAUAGAUAUUUCUACAAAUAGGAAGCGCCAAAAAGCAAGCGAACACAGAACAUAACGUCAAACAUUAUUAACUUAUGGACGUGGCUGUUGUAUGUCAUGAGCCCGAUCUAAUGGAGGGCAACAGCUUGGAGAAGAGUGCACACAAUUGUCCCUGUCGGGUAGUAGGAAAGUGAGACAGUCGAUUGUUCGAAAUAUGGUUCUUCGUAAACUUUCUUUUGCGCAUUGAUUCGCAUAAAUAUUUUUAUUAAUUCUGGCACAUACUGAUUUCAGAUCCCGUUGUUUUUGAGAAUAAUUUUUUGCCAUUUUCUUUGUUGUUACUUAACGCGUUUUUUUUAUUUUCUCUAGCAUGGGUUAUUGUUUACUUAUCGCUUGGGGAAUGUAAACAAAACAAAUACAUAAGUUUGACAUAACAGCCAUCACGGCGAAAGAAAAAAAUUAAAUAAAAUUGGCUGAUCAGGUAACACCACCUUGAUAAAUUCGCCUUGUUAUCUUUGGAGUUCUGUUAGAUGCGACGGUUUUUUUUCACUGAUUUAAAAAAUUACGUUUGCGUUUGGGUGUUUGCCGUGUUUUACCUAUUCGACAAGUCAACCUAAAAUGCCACGACUGACGCAAAGUGGAGUUUGGUCUUAUUUUAAAUUAGAUGAGCAUGAUCGAGAGAAAUCCAAGUGUAAUAUAUGUAAUAAAAUAUAUUCUCGCAAGGGUCGUACAACCUCGUCUUUGAGGAAUCAUUUGAAAUCAAUGCACCCGGAGCAGUUUAGUCUGGUUGAAAGCGAUGAUAACGAAAUUCAGUUGCAAAAAAAAGAGAUGAAUCAGGUAAGUUUUAACAUAAUGAAUUUAUUAUUCUCGAAAAAGAUUAAUUCGUGUCAUCAGUUAGUUGUACACAGAACCCAGAUUAAGUAGGCAUACUAUUUUUUUACGUAAAUUGGAGGGAAGUCUAUAAAUUAAACUAAAUUAGAAAGGAACUUCUAUUCUGCGUUCAUCGGUGGGAGAAGCACAAACUCUUUAACUUUACGGCCCCAACCCAAAUGGAUUUUUGUUACAUGUUUUUGUUAUUUUGACACUAGUCUUAACUGUUUUCGUAUGAUAUGUAUAUUUAAUUCAAUUCUAAAUAUAGUUUAGGUCAUUUUAUUUAUUAUUUUUCAACAUGAUGAAUAUGCCUUGAAUAAAGUUUAUUUACUGUGUAUACAUAAGUAUGUAUUGCUUUUUCAGAUAAAAAUGACACUCCGUUGCAAAAAGCUAAAACACAACUAUCUUUGGAAGAUGCAUUUCAAAAAGAAAAAAAGUGGGACACUAACAAUACGAAUUCGAAGAAAAUUGACAAACUCAUUGGAGAAAUGAUUGCACUACAAAAUUUACCAUUUUAUUUUGUGAAGGGUGUAGGAUUUAGGAGAUUAAUGCAAGAAAUAGCGCCAAAAUUGACAUUUGGACGGAUCCAAGCUCGAAUGCUUCUUAGCUUAGCCUGACUUGCCACGGAAUAUCGGAAAACUUCAGUUAUAUUGAAAUGUGAGAAUUUUGACGAUCGUCACACGGGGGAUAUAAUAACCGAAAAGUAUGACAUAAUGCUCACUGAAUGGAAUAUCAGAAAAAACAAGUGCAUUGCAUAAUUCGUGACGAAGGCUCCAACAUGAAAAGAGCUAUGCGAUUAGCAGAAUUAAACGAUAUGGAUUGUACAGUCCACAAGAUGCAGCUUACUAUUCAACGCUGUUUACAGUCGCAAAAAAAUAUAAAAGAUAUCAAACAAAAAUGCAAAAAAAUUUCAACUCAUUUUAACCAUUCCACGAUCGUUCGGAAAAAACUGCAAAAAAUUCAGGACCGACUGAAUCAACCGCACUCAACGUGUUCCAAGACUGCAACACGCAAUGGAACAGUUCCUUGUAUAUGUUCGAGCAAUUUUUAAAGAUAAAAGAUGAGUUGAGUCUUUACAUGACCGACAGUGACAUGGUCCCAAUUUUGCCAGAGGAGUGGAAGAUUAUGGAAUCUUGUGUUGAGCUAUUAAAAUCUUUUGAAGAAGCCAAACGGGAACUAAGAAGCUCUGAGACCCUCAUAUCAUCCGUGAUUCCAAUAAUUCAAAUGCUUAUAAAAAAACUGGGAGACUUUUUAGCCAAAUCACAAUAUUCUGUUCCGAUUCGGCUUCUACGACUUUGAAAACAGAAUUUUGUUCGAAAUUUUCAUCCCUGGAAAAUGAUAAUUUAUUUGCCAUAUCCACCUAUUUAGACCCCCGCACACAAUUUUUCAAACCAGUCACAGAAGAAAGAAUUAAAAAUUAAUUACAAAGUCUAAAGUCGAAAGACACUGAUGAACCUGUUAUUUCCCCGAAUUCUGAAACAGCCAAAAGAAUGAGAAUGAGAAAUUCUUUGGAAAAAGAUUUAGAAAACCCCGAAGCAUCUGGUUCGACUAGUAAGCGAUGUUUAAAGAGCGAUCUUGCCAUUAUGCUAGACUCUUCAAGUGAAGAUGAAAAUCAGGAGGAUUCACCCGACAUUAGCAGUUCCGAUGCAAUUCUCAAAAAGGAAUUAUCCUUGUACCGCAAUAAAAAAAAGAAUUAUUAUUACUGAAAGUCCCCUGAAAUAGUGGAGUGUCAAUCGAAACAAGUUUAAAAUAUUGUCAAGUUUCGCACGCAGAUAUAUGUCGCCUCCACCAGCAAGUGUUCCGAGGGAGCAGUUAUUUAGUAGCGCAGGUUUAAUUUACGACAUUACAGCAUUACUUUUUAUUAAAUACUAGCAGACCCGGCGAACUUCGUCCCGCCCAAAAUUU